GAUGAACGCUGGCGGCGUGCCUAAUACAUGCAAGUCGAACGCGCAGCGAAAGGUGCUUGCACCUUUCAAGCGAGUGGCGAACGGGUGAGUACACGUGGAUAACCUGCCUCAAGGCUGGGGAUAACAUUUGGAAACAGAUGCUAAUACCGAAUAAAACUUAGUAUCGCAUGAUACAAAGUUAAAAGGCGCUACGGCGUCACCUAGAGAUGGAUCCGCGGUGCAUUAGUUAGUUGGUGGGGUAAAGGCUUACCAAGACGAUGAUGCAUAGCCGCGUUGAAAGACUGAUCGGCCACAUUGGGCAUGAGACACGGCCCAAACUCCUACGGGAGGCUGCAGUAGGGAAGCUUCCACAAUGGGCGCAAGCCUGAUGGAGCAACGCCGCGUGUGUGAUGAAGGCUUUCGGGUCGUAAAGCACUGUUGUAUGGGAAGAAAUGCUAAAAUAGGGAAUGAUUUUAGUUUGACGGUACCAUACCAGAAAGGGACGGCUAAAUACGUGCCAGCCGCCGCCGUAA
rnacentral:rRNA from 1 species